CGGCCGUACACUCUCUCUCUCCCCGACCUCACUCUCUCGUCCUCUCCCUCUGCCAUCGCCGGAACCACAUCGUCCGGCCACCGCCUCACAUCACCGCUACCACCAAUCGGAGCAGCACCUCAAUCCAACCUAAACCCAUAAGAGAUCGAAGCCAUGCAUCGACCCGGCCUCUCUCUUCCGCUAUCCUUCUCUCUGCCACCAUCGGAGACUCCAUCUCCGGCCACCAUCUCCCCACACCGUCUUCACCAAUCGACGCAGCAUCCAAAACCAACCCAAGCCCGAGCCUUAACGUCGAAAUACAUCGCCGGCAGCCUCUACCCGUGACCACCCAAGGCUGCGACGCUGCUGCCACUCAACCUCCAUCAAUUUCUAGCCGCCUUUUCAAUACACCGUAGCCUCCUGUGAGCUCAGGGAGCGCCGACCAUCAAGCCCCCGACAUCCCAUCGCCAGAAGACGUCGAACACACAUCGCCGGAAACCGAGCUCUGCAUGCCUUCGUUCUCUAAUCUCCAACGCGAAUCGUGCUAAACCACCUCCAUGGUUGGAAUCAGCGUCUCACGUUUUCCAAAAGUCCAAACACCCGACCUCCGAUUCCGACCAGAGCCGCCACACGCGCCGCCGGCGCCGGCGCGUGAGAAACCUUGAUGCCGCCGUGAACUCUGCCGGCGUAGUC
rnacentral:lncRNA from 1 species